GAUGAACGCUGGCGGCGUGCCUAAUACAUGCAAGUCGAGCGAAUGGAUUGAGAGCUUGCUCUUAUGAAGUUAGCGGCGGACGGGUGAGUAACACGUGGGUAACCUGCCCAUAAGACUGGGAUAACUGCGGGAAACCGGGGCUAAUACCGGAUACAUUUUGAACCGCAUGGUUAGAAAUUGAAAGGCGGCUUCGGAUGGAACUUAUGUAUGGAACCGCGUCGCAUUAGCUAGUUGGGGAGGUAACGGCUCACCAAGGCAACGAUGCUGAGCCGACCUGAGAGGGUGAUCGGCCACACUGGGACUGAGACACGGCCCAGACUCCUACGGGAGGCAGCAGUAGGGUAUCUUCCGCAAUGGACGAAAGUCUGACGGAGCAACGCCGCGUGAGUGAUGAAGGCUUUCGGGUCGUAAAACUCUGUUGUUAGGGAAGAACAAGUGCUAGUUGAAUAAGCUGGCACCUUGACGGUACCUAACCAGAAAGCCACGGCUAACUACGUGCCAGCCGCCGCAGUAA
rnacentral:rRNA from 1 species